UAACGCGAAGAACCUUACCAGGUCUUGACAUCUUCUGCUAACCUAAGAGAUUAGGCGUUCCCUUCGGGGACGGAAUGACAGGUGGUGCAUGGUUGUCGUCAGCUCGUGUCGUGAGAUGUUGGGUUAAGUCCCGCAACGAGCGCAACCCUUAUUGUCAGUUGCCAGCAUUUAGUUGGGCACUCUGGCGAGACUGCCGGUGACAAACCGGAGGAAGGUGGGGAUGACGUCAAAUCAUCAUGCCCCUUAUGACCUGGGCUACACACGUGCUACAAUGGACGGUACAACGAGUCGCGAAACCGCGAGGUCAAGCUAAUCUCUUAAAGCCGUUCUCAGUUCGGAUUGCAGGCUGCAACUCGCCUACAUGAAGCUGGAAUCGCUAGUAAUCGCGGAUCAGC
rnacentral:rRNA from 1 species